ACGGAGAAAAACACCAAACUACGACUCGUGUCGGAGAAGCCGCCGCACCCGAGAGCUCUGCCGCCGGUAAGUCUCAAUUUUUUGGAUUUUUUUGGCCCACCGAGGGCCCUAGGGAUGUUUUAUCACAGGAACCAAUGCAAGUUUGGCCGAAUUCGGCCUAAAACGGCUAGAAACUGACCAUCAGGAUAAAGAAGGGUGAAAACGACAUUGUUUUGAUGAAAGAAAAAGGAAAAAAAGGGGACAACCAGAGGCGUGUACAUCUUUGGCAGCCAAAAAAGAUGAAUA
rnacentral:lncRNA from 1 species